GAACACACCCAAUCUCAACUGAUUUUGGAAGAUAAGC
rnacentral:rRNA from 1 species